GCCUAAAGCGUCCGUAGCCGGCUUUGUAAGUUUUCGGUUAAAUCCAUAUGCUCAACAUAUGGGCUGUCGGGAAUACUGCAUAGCUAGGGAGUGGGAGAGGUAGACGGUACUCCAUAGGAAGGGGUAAAAUCCUUUGAUCUAUGGAAGACCACCUGUGGCGAAGGCGGUCUACCAGAACACGUUCGACGGUGAGGGAUGAAAGCUGGGGGAGCAAACCGGAUUAGAUACCCGGGUAGUCCCAGCUGUAAACUAUGCAAACUCAGUGAUGCAUUGGCUUGUGGCCAGUGCAGUGCCGCAGGGAAGCCGUUAAGUUUGCCGCCUGGGAAGUACGUACGCAAGUAUGAAACUUAAAGGAAUUGGCGGGGGAGCACCACAAGGGGUGAAGCCUGCGGUUCAAUUGGAGUCAACGCCAGAAAUCUUACCCGGAGAGACAGCAGAAUGAAGGUCAAGCUGAAGACUUUACCAGACAAGCUGAGAGGUGGUGCAUGGCCGCCGCCAGCUCGUGCCGUGAGAUGUCCUGUUAAGUCAGGUAACGAGCGAGAUCCCUGCCUCUAGUUGCCACCAUUACUCUCAGGAGUAGUGGGGCGAAUUAGCGGGACCGCCGCAGUUAAUGCGGAGGAAGGAAGGGGCCACGACAGGUCAGUAUGCCCCGAA
rnacentral:rRNA from 1 species